rnacentral:rRNA from 1 species
GACGUAGGGCGCGAGCGUUGUCCGGAUUUAUUGGGCGUAAAGAGCUCGUAGGCGGUUUGUCACGUCGAAUGUGAAAUCUUAGGGCUCAACCCUGACAUUGCAUUCGAUACGGGCAGGCUAGAGUUCGGUAGGGGAGACUGGAAUUCCUGGUGUAGCGGUGAAAUGCGCAGAUAUCAGGAGGAACACCGGUGGCGAAGGCGGGUCUCUGGGCCGAUACUGACGCUGAGGAGCGAAAGCGUGGGGAGCGAACAGG